CGAAGCUAAGCUCUGGAAACCCUUUCUGAAACCUGCAGAAACAGCCCAUACUCGAUGCCUUGAAGUUGCAAUUAAAUUGUAGUAAUUUAAGAUUAUCAAGAGAGCAAAGGGCAGCUGGAGGCCUUUGCAGAGCUCCCCUCCCUACUUAAUGCUCUGCACUCAGGGGUUAAAUGAGUUUCUUUAAUGUAAGUACCUUAAAGUAACCAAAUCAUAAACAAAAUUUAUACUAUUUUCUGUCAGCCUGCAAUCUAUUGAAAUUUGAUUAACGUGUACCUAAAAUUAUUUUUAAAAGGCAAAACUCUGGCUAUCCCCGUAAAUACUCUUGCAAUAGCCAUUGAAAUGGGAUUGGACCUCUAGCACCUACACUUGUCAGAAUACAGUGUGUGUGUGUCUGUGUGUGUCUGUGUCUGUGUGUGUGUGUGUGUGUGUGUGUGUGUGUGUGUGUGUGAGAGAGAGAGAGAGAGAGAGAGAGAGAGAGAGAAGAUGAAGGUACAAAAUUAAGUUUGAGUCAAGUAAACUGUGAAAAUCAAAUAAAAAUGCAUACAAUAGGAAUGGCUGCAAAGCGGAAGCCGGGCUGAAAGAGGCUGUCAAAUGUUCUAUCCCCUCCCUUCUCUUUCCUAACUCUGGGACUGGUCAGGCUGUAGUAAAAUAUAUUUGUUUGGGAAAUAGCCCAGUUCUUCUGUCCAUUUCAACAACUGCUGCAAACAUACCACCCUUCCACAGAGCCUAAGAAUGCAAAUGUACAAAGUCAGGGGUCUAGAGAGAAGCAAGGAAAACCUUAGUCACAGGCAAAAUAAAAAUGCUUAGGCCCAAUAUUAACUCGAUUAACUUCUGCUAUUGUUGGUACAAAUGAUUUUACUAGAAAAUAUUUACAGCUUUUUAAAAACAUGAUACACUGCAGAAAAUUGCCUAACAGCAUCCAUGUGUAUGUUUAACCCACAUUGCUUAAUUAUACAAUAAAGGUAUACCCAAUAAAAGCGUCAGACUUUGAAACAUGUUGUGUACCAUGGUUAUGAAACUCUAGCUUAUUAAAAAAAACAAAGUAGUCACUAUGUGACAGGCACUAGUUAAUUAAAAAUACAAGCCUUAAAUGACAAUGAUUUUUAUUCUUCUGUAUAUGUUUACUUAUCCUAUUUCCUACUUUGUCCUACUUAAUUAAAGAUGACAUUUAAUUUGGAGAUAGUUUCUAACUGGAAAAAAGUGUUACAUAGUUUACACUUCAGGAUUGAAAUAUAAACAUAGUAUCUUGAAGACAUCUCCAGCAAUGUAAACCCCUUCAUUAGACACAGUUUCUUUGAAUAGUUGAUAGUUCAUUCGGUUUACUUUGAUAAACCUUUGAAAAUAAAAUGCUAAAGUAAUUACUGUUACUACUUUCCUUAAAAAUGUAAAGUAGUUAAAAUUUCCUAGACAACAAGGGAGGCCAAGUUACAAAGAACCUGAAUAAAGUAGCAGCUGGUCAUACUGAAUGUCAAUCAAAAAAAAAGAGGUCAUGUGUAAUCUAGAGAAGGCUCUCUCCUCUUUUUAAAUUCCAAGAGUGGGCUUCAGCACUUGGGUUUCUUCUUUUCUCGUUUUUAACUACACGGCAGAUUUAAACCCUCACAUAUAAAACCCUGGCUUCCCUGAGAAAGCAAAGCUUCUAAGCUGGAUGUGAGAAAAUGUUAUCUAACUGGUGUGGGAGUCUAAUGUUGGUAAAAAGAAUUCCACGGUGAGGUUCUGGUUAGCCAGCAAGACAGAAUUCAGAUGACUUAAUAUUCUUUGGAUACCUUUUGGGGUGCACUCUUCUAAAAAAAAAGAAAUGUAUUACAAAAUAGUAACUUGUUUAGCAAUUCAGCAUCCAUAGGAACUCACAUGCAGCCCAGAGGCUGGGUAUUUCCUUCCAAGUGAGGCUUCACUUGCACAAUAAAGAUAAGCACUUGCAAUGGUCCAUUUCUGCAUAAGUGAACACGCAGCCUUGCUGGGCUCUCCCUUAGAGCAGUCCCUGACAAGAGCCCAGCAGCAGCCCUGUUUGAUCUCCCCUGCUUCCUUAAUUUGGGUUGUCAAGGUUCAGCAGUUGGAGGCUGUUUACUUUACUUUUCAAAAAAAAGAAGAAAAAAGAAAGAAAGAAAAAAAGUGAUUUCCCCCCCCAUUACAAUGACUAAUCCAAAAUGGGGUGGGGGGCAGGGGAGCUGCAGCCACUGGCAAGAGGCUAAACCUUUCCCCCUCUGCACUAAGAUCUUAGCUGACACUUUCUGAAUGACUCAAAAGAAGUGGCUAAUUCAAAAAUCAAAACUAGAAUGGAAUUCUUGAAAAUGACCUGAAAAUAGAAAUGAGCAGGGACUCAGCUGCCUCCAUUAAGCAAACAACCCCUGGAUAGAAAACACCUCAAGUCUUACCGGCCCCCAUCCAAACCAAGCUAGCCCCAAAACUGAUUCUCACUGUGAAAAAUAAAAUAAAAUAAGAGUGCAAAACA